UACGAAGGGGGCUAGCGUUGUUCGGAAUCACUGGGCGUAAAGGGCGCGUAGGCGGCUUAUAAGUCGGGGGUGAAAGCCUGUGGCUCAACCACAGAAUUGCCUUCGAUACUGUAGAGCUUGAGACCGGAAGAGGUAAGUGGAACUGCGAGUGUAGAGGUGAAAUUCGUAGAUAUUCGCAAGAACACCAGUGGCGAAGGCGGCUUACUGGUCCGGUUCUGACGCUGAGGCGCGAAAGCGUGGGGAGCAAACAGG
rnacentral:rRNA from 1 species